AUUGAACGCUAGCGGGAUGCUUUACACAUGCAAGUCGAACGGCAGCGCGGACUUCGGUCUGGCGGCGAGUGGCGAACGGGUGAGUAAUGUAUCGGAACGUGCCCAGUAGCGGGGGAUAACUACGCGAAAGCGUAGCUAAUACCGCAUACGCCCUACGGGGGAGAGCAGGGGAUCGUAAGACCUUGCACUAUUGGAGCGGCCGAUAUCGGAUUAGCUAGUUGGUGAGGUAACGGCUCACCAAGGCGACGAUCCGUAGCUGGUUUGAGAGGACGACCAGCCACACUGGGACUGAGACACGGCCCAGACUCCUACGGGAGGCAGCAGUGGGGAAUUUUGGACAAUGGGGGCAACCCUGAUCCAGCCAUCCCGCGUGUGCGAUGAAGGCCUUCGGGUUGUAAAGCACUUUUGGCAGGAAAGAAACGUCGCGGGCUAAUACCCCGUGGAACUGACGGUACCUGCAGAAUAAGCACCGGCUAACUACGUG
rnacentral:rRNA from 1 species